rnacentral:rRNA from 1 species
AUGAUGAACGCUAGCGACAGGCUUAACACAUGCAAGUCGAGGGGCAGCACAGGUAGCAAUACCGGGUGGCGACCGGCGCACGGGUGAGUAACGCGUAUGCAACUUGCCUAUCAGAGGGGGAUAACCCGGCGAAAGUCGGACUAAUACCGCAUGAAGCAGGGGCCCCGCAUGGGGAUAUUUGCUAAAGAUUCAUCGCUGAUAGAUAGGCAUGCGUUCCAUUAGGCAGUUGGCGGGGUAACGGCCCACCAAACCGACGAUGGAUAGGGGUUCUGAGAGGAAGGUCCCCCACAUUGGUACUGAGACACGGACCAAACUCCUACGGGAGGCAGCAGUGAGGAAUAUUGGUCAAUGGGCGUAAGCCUGAACCAGCCAAGUCGCGUGAGGGAUGAAGGUUCUAUGGAUCGUAAACCUCUUUUAUAAGGGAAUAAAGUGCGGGACGUGUCCCGUUUUGUAUGUACCUUAUGAAUAAGGAUCGGCUAACUCCGUGCCAGCAGCCGCGGUAAUACGGAGGAUCCGAGCGUUAUCCGGAUUUAUUGGGUUUAAAGGGUGCGUAGGCGGCCUUUUAAGUCAGCGGUGAAAGUCUGUGGCUCAACCAUAGAAUUGCCGUUGAAACUGGGAGGCUUGAGUAUGUUUGAGGCAGGCGGAAUGCGUGGUGUAGCGGUGAAAUGCUUAGAUAUCACGCAGAACCCCGAUUGCGAAGGCAGCCUGCCAAGCCAUUACUGACGCUGAUGCACGAAAGCGUGGGGAUCAAACAGGAUUAGAUACCCUGGUAGUCCACGCAGUAAACGAUGAUCACUAGCUGUUUGCGAUACACUGUAAGCGGCACAGCGAAAGCGUUAAGUGAUCCACCUGGGGAGUACGCCGGCAACGGUGAAACUCAAAGGAAUUGACGGGGGCCCGCACAAGCGGAGGAACAUGUGGUUUAAUUCGAUGAUACGCGAGGAACCUUACCCGGGUUUGAACGCAUUUUGACAGCUCUGGAAACAGAGCCUCUAGCAAUAGCGAUUUGCGAGGUGCUGCAUGGUUGUCGUCAGCUCGUGCCGUGAGGUGUCGGCUUAAGUGCCAUAACGAGCGCAACCCUUGCCACUAGUUACUAACAGGUAAAGCUGAGGACUCUGGUGGGACUGCCAGCGUAAGCUGCGAGGAAGGCGGGGAUGACGUCAAAUCAGCACGGCCCUUACAUCCGGGGCGACACACGUGUUACAAUGGCGUGGACAAAGGGAGGCCACCUGGCGACAGGGAGCGAAUCCCCAAACCACGUCUCAGUUCGGAUCGGAGUCUGCAACCCGACUCCGUGAAGCUGGAUUCGCUAGUAAUCGCGCAUCAGCCAUGGCGCGGUGAAUACGUUCCCGGGCCUUGUACACACCGCCCGUCAAGCCAUGGGAGCCGGGGGCACCUGAAGUCCGUAACCGAAAGGAUCGGCCUAGGGUAAAACUGG